rnacentral:rRNA from 1 species
GAUGAACGCUGGCGGCGUGCCUAAUACAUGCAAGUCGAGCGAACGGACGAGAAGCUUGCUUCUCUGAUGUUAGCGGCGGACGGGUGAGUAACACGUGGAUAACCUGCCUAUAAGACUGGGAUAACUUCGGGAAACCGGAGCUAAUACCGGAUGAUAUUUUGAACCGCAUGGUUCAAAAGUGAAAGACGGUCUUGCUGUCACUUAUAGAUGGAUCCGCGCUGUAUUAGCUAGUUGGUAAGGUAACGGCUUACCAAGGCAACGAUGCAUAGCCGACCUGAGAGGGUGAUCGGCCACACUGGAACUGAGACACGGCCCAGACUCCUACGGGAGGCAGCAGUAGGGAAUCUUCCGCAAUGGGCGAAAGCCUGACGGAGCAACGCCGCGUGAGUGAUGAAGGUCUUCGGAUCGUAAAACUCUGUUAUUAGGGAAGAACAUAUGUGUAAGUAACUGUGCACAUCUUGACGGUACCUAAUCAGAAAGCCACGGCUAACUACGUG